UAAGACGAAGGAUUCAAGCGUUGUCCGGAUUUACUGGGUUUAAAGGGUGCGUAGGCGGAAAGCUAAGUCAGUGGUGAAAGCCCGCAGCUCAACUGCGGAACUGCCAUUGAAACUGGCCUUCUUGAAUACAGUGGAGGUAGAUGGAAUAUAACAUGUAGCGGUGAAAUGCUUAGAUAUGUUAUAGAACACCGAUUGCGAAGGCAGUCUGCUACACUGUCAUUGACGCUGAGGCACGAAAGCGUGGGAGCGAACAGGAUUAGAUACCCUGGUAGUCCACGCCCUAAACGUUGAUUACUCGCUGUUGGCGAUACACUGUCAGCGGCUAAGCGAAAGCGUUAAGUAGUCCACCUGGGAAGUACGUCCGCAAGGAUGAAACUCAAAGGAAUUGACGGGGGCCCGCACAAGCGGAGGAGCAUGUGGUUUAAUUCGAUGAUACGCGAGGAACCUUACCUGGGCUUAAAUGUCAAGUGACCGCUGCCGAAAGGCGGCUUCCCUUCGGGGCAA
rnacentral:rRNA from 1 species